CUCUUCUCGCCCCGCCCCUUCUGCUUGUGUCUAAUCUCCAUUGCGGACGUUAAAACCAUGCAAUGACUGAAGAAAAAGGCAAGCAUCUGCGGCUUCGAAGCAAGAUACUCAACCACAGCUGAGACUUUCUUUGUCUACCCCCCACUCCCGCCUCGAGGGAGGCCCACGUGAAGAAGAUGCAGAUUUCCAGAGCCAUAAAUUAAGGGGCGAUUAGUCACGUUGCAAUCUUUCUUCAAAGGAUUCUUUAAAGGCUCCUUCAUUGAAGUGUUUACAGCACAGUAACUUGCAGACUGAGAGGCUGGGGUGGGGGUGGGGGUGCCAUCAGGGGAACAGCCAGAGAACAGAGAAGACACUGGGAGAAAAGUUGGGAAGGCCCUCCCACGGGAGCCACCCUGCGGAGGACCUGACAGACAAGAUUUCAUGGAUUCAGCAGUGGGUCGCCCAGCACCCGCUUGGUGGUGCAUGUAUCCCCGCUGCUGGGGAAGUGAAUAGAAGAAUGAAAAACCAGCAGUGCCAUCUCUUCUCCCCCUCUUUUUCCUGGAACUCUGAAGUUUGGCUUUUGUUGCAUUAAUGACCCCUAAGUUCCCACCUCAGUUUCUGGGAUCAAGUCCCUUAGCCACUCAGCACCUUGGCCCACUGGGCAGCCGGCUGACAGUGAGGGCUGAGCUCACGUGGCAGCUGUGGGGGGCUCAAUGGAGUCUCUUCUGAAGGUGGAGACAGGUCUGCUGGAGCCCAGACUCACCCCCUCUGGGGCCAUUACACAACCUGCUGUCACUUCCAGCUUCGAGUCUCUGUUUCAGCUUCUGUUGUCUCUCUACCCUGCAAACUCCUAGUCACCAUACAAAACCCAAUCUUGUCAGUCACCAUUGGCAUUGCAGCAGGAGUUUGCUGUCUGCUGCCCUUGGAUCCUAGGCUCCCUCCCCAAGGGUGAGGAUUAUACUUGUUGGCUCAGGGAACUGAGCCAAUUCCAGUGUCUGACAUAGCUGUAAAAUGGAAUGCUUCAUCUCUGGAAGAAAGGAAAGCUGGCCCCACUGAGACAUCUGGGCGCAUCUGAACACACAAGCCUGCUGUGUGCCCUAAGUCUGUCACCGUGAACAUGACGCUGCCUCUGUGGCUUCACCCAUCCUAAGCCUUAAAAUGGUUGGACCACCCUGGGUCUUUGGGUUUGCAGUCUUGGCUCCUGUGUCAUGCAAAGCUAUAGUGGAAUAAACUUGUCUUGCUUA